CGGGGCUGGAGGACCUGGCGAGGCGGUUGGCCCUCCGACCAAUCAGAGUGAAUGAGAGGCGGGACUUGAUUAUACCACGUGAUCAUCCUCGCGGACAGCGCGGCUGUGCGGGCGGAGAGCUGUCGCACAACCAGAACUGGACAGAGUAUUCCAGAAGAGGCCUCCCCAACAUCUUGUACAUCCUCAACAUAACGUCCCAACUCCUGUACUCCAAGGUCUGAACAAUCAAGAUCCCAGUGAUUAAUGCCAAAGCCCUGUUGCCUGGGGAGAGGGUGAUGUUUGACUUUCUUGUACAGCUGCAGUUUGUGUGGUGAAGGUGCUCCCACAAUGUG